UUUCAAAAACUCUUUUUCUCUUUUUCUCUCUUCUCUCUCUUCAUGGUUCUUUUUAUUAAAAAGUUGACCAAGAACUUCAAGGAAGGCAGCUCCUUCAAGAGCCUGAACUUUGGCUUUUAAAGAGU
rnacentral:ribozyme from 13 species